GUGAGUAACGCGUGAGAAUCUGCCCUUAUGAGGGGGGUAACAGUUGGAAACGACUGCUAAUACCCCAUAUGCCGAGAGGUGAAACAUUAAUGGCCUGAGGAGGAGCUCGCGUAUGAUUAGCUAGUUGGUGGGGUAACGGCCUACCAAGGCGACGAUCAGUAGCUGGUCUGAGAGGAUGAUCAGCCACACUGGGAGUGAGACACGGCCCAGACUCCUACGGGAGGCAGCAGUGGGGAAUUUUCCGCAAUGGGCGAAAGCCUGACGGAGCAAGACCGCGUGAGGGAGGAAUGUCUGUGGAUUGUAAACCUCUUUUCUCAGGGAAGAAGAACUGACGGUACCUGAGGAAUCAGCAUCGGCUAACUCCGUGCCAGCAGCCGCGGUAAUACGGAGGAUGCAAGCGUUAUCCGGAAUUAUUGGGCGUAAAGCGUCCGUAGGUGGCUAAGCAAGUCUGCUGUUAAAGAGCGGAGCUAAACUCCGUAAAGGCGGUGGAAACUGCAUAGCUAGAGUGUGGUAGGGGUAGAGGGAAUUCCCAGUGUAGCGGUGAAAUGCGUAGAUAUUGGGAAGAACACCGGUUGCAAAGGCGCUCUACUGGGCCACACCUGACACUGAUGGACGAAAGCUAGGGGAGCGAAAGGGAUUAGAUACCCCUGUAGUCCUAACCGUAAACGAUGAACACUACGUGUUGCCCGUAUCGACCCGGGCAGUGCCGUAGCCAACGCGUUAAGUGUCCCGCCUGGGGAGUACGCUCGCAAGUGUGAAACUCAAAGGAAUUGACGGGGGCCCGCACAAGCGGUGGAGUAUGUGGUUUAAUUCGAUGCAACGCGAAGAACCUUACCA
rnacentral:rRNA from 1 species